AAUUCGAAGCAACGCGAAGAACCUUACCAGGCCUUGACAUGCAGAGAACUUUCCAGAGAUGGAUUGGUGCCUUCGGGAACUCUGACACAGGUGCUGCAUGGCUGUCGUCAGCUCAUGUCGUGAGAUGUUGGGUUAAGUCCGUAACGAGCGCAACCCUUGUCCUUAGUUACCAGCACGUUAUGGUGGGCACUCUAAGGAGACUGCCGGUGACAAACCGGAGGAAGGUGGGGAUGACGUCAAGUCAUCAUGGCCCUUACGGCCUGGGCUACACACGUGCUACAAUGGUCGGUACAAGGGGUUGCCAAGCCGCGAGGUGGAGCUAAUCCCAUAAAACCGAUCGUAGUCCGGAUCGCAGUCUGCAACUCGACUGCGUGAAGUCGGAAUCGCUAGUAAUCGUGAAUCAGAAUGUCACGGUGAAUACGUUCCCGGGCCUU
rnacentral:rRNA from 1 species